rnacentral:rRNA from 1 species
AACGAACGCUGGCGGCAUGCCUAACACAUGCAAGUCGAACGAGACCUUCGGGUCUAGUGGCGCACGGGUGCGUAACGCGUGGGAACCUGCCCUUAGGUUCGGAAUAACUCCCCGAAAGGGGUGCUAAUACCGGAUAAUGUCUUCGGACCAAAGAUUUAUCGCCUUUGGAUGGGCCCGCGUUGGAUUAGCUAGUUGGUAGGGUAAAAGCCUACCAAGGCGACGAUCCAUAGCUGGUCUGAGAGGAUGAUCAGCCACACUGGGACUGAGACGCGGCCCAGACUCCUACGGGAGGCAGCAGUGGGGAAUAUUGGACAAUGGGCGAAAGCAUGAUCCAGCAAUGCCGCGUGAGUGAUGAAGGCCUUAGGGUUGUAAAGCUCUUUUAACCGGGAUGAUAAUGACAGUACCGGGAGAAUAAGCUCCAGCUAACUCCGUG